rnacentral:rRNA from 1 species
UACGGAGGGAGCUAGCGUUAUUCGGAAUUACUGGGCGUAAAGCGCACGUAGGCGGCUUUGUAAGUCAGAGGUGAAAGCCUGGAGCUCAACUCCGGAACUGCCUUUAAGACUGCAUCGCUAGAAUUGUGGAGAGGUGAGUGGAAUUCCGAGUGUAGAGGUGAAAUUCGUAGAUAUUCGGAAGAACACCAGUGGCGAAGGCGACUCACUGGACACAUAUUGACGCUGAGGUGCGAAAGCGUGGGGAGCGAACAGG